rnacentral:sRNA from 1 species
CUACAAGAUCGACUAGGCAUUUAUUUUUCUUUCAGUCGGAAAUGAAACUCUUGGACUCAGGUUAUCUAAUUAUCUCUACAUUUUAACAUUGCUGACUAAUGAACUGGACAAGCCACAAGAAGCCAAUGACUCAUCUGCUCUUGUGUCAGCCAUACACGAAAUAUUGAUCAGCAUCCUGGGACUGUUAGACAACUCACAGGUGUCGCUGGCCUCUGAAAUUAACUACAGCACCCAGACUGGACUGAGACUUAAACGUGCCUUGGAGUGCCGACUACCAGCUUACUGUAAUCGUAAUCCUCCACCAUUUUAUCCAUGUUCCUGCAGAUCUCUUGGGUUAGGUUGGAGAUAACUGUCUCCAUAGAACAUAUCAAAUCUGUCCAACUUCCUGCUUCAAGAGAAAAAACAAAAUUAUUGGCAGUUUGAAAUUCAAA